AACGAACGCUGGCGGCAGGCCUAACACAUGCAAGUCGAACGCACCGCAAGGUGAGUGGCGCACGGGUGAGUAACACGUGGGAAUGUACCCUUUGGUUCGGAAUAACGUUUGGAAACGAACGCUAAUACCGGAUGAGCCCUGUGGGGGAAAGAUUUAUCGCCAAAGGAGCAGCCCGCGUCUGAUUAGCUAGUUGGUGGGGUAAAGGCCUACCAAGGCGACGAUCAGUAGCUGGUCUGAGAGGAUGAUCAGCCACACUGGGACUGAGACACGGCCCAGACUCCUACGGGAGGCAGCAGUGGGGAAUAUUGGACAAUGGGCGGAAGCCUGAUCCAGCCAUGCCGCGUGAGUGAUGAAGGCCUUCGGGUUGUAAAGCUCUUUCGCACGCGACGAUGAUGACGGUAGCGUGAGAAGAAGCCCCGGCUAGCUUCGUGCCAGCAGCCGCGGUAAU
rnacentral:rRNA from 1 species